UACGGGGGGAGCAAGCGUUGUUCGGAUUUACUGGGCGUAAAGGGCGCGUAGGCGGUCAGCACAAGUCAGUUGUGAAAUCUCCGGGCUUAACUCGGAAAGGUCAACUGAUACUGUGCGACUAGAGUGCAGAAGGGGCAACUGGAAUUCUCGGUGUAGCGGUGAAAUGCGUUGAUAUCGAUAGGAACUCCGGUGGCGAAGGCGGCAUACUGGUCCACUUCUGACGCUGAGGCGCGAAAGCCAGGGGAGCGAACGGG
rnacentral:rRNA from 1 species